rnacentral:tRNA from 1 species
AGUAGGAUGGCUGAGAUAAUAAAAAGGUGAUAAAUUGUAAAUUUAUUUAGGAACUGGGAAGUUCUCCUGCUA